rnacentral:rRNA from 1 species
AUUGAACGCUGGCGGCAGGCCUAACACAUGCAAGUCGAACGGUAACAGGAAACAGCUUGCUGUUUCGCUGACGAGUGGCGGACGGGUGAGUCAUGUCUGGGAAACUGCCUGAUGGAGGGGGAUAACUACUGGAAACGGUAGCUAAUACCGCAUAACGUCGCAAGAGCAAAGAGGGGGACCUUCGGGCCUCUUUCCAUCGGAUGUGCCCAGAUGGGAUUAGCUAGUAGGUGGGGUAAAGGCUCACCUAGGCGACGAUCCCUAGCUGGUCUGAGAGGAUGACCAGCCACACUGGAACUGAGACACGGUCCAGACUCCUACGGGAGGCAGCAGUGGGGAAUAUUGCACAAUGGGCGCAAGCCUGAUGCAGCCAUGCCGCGUGUAUGAAGAAGGCCUUCGGGUUGUAAAGUACUUGCAGCGGGGAGGAAGGGAGUAAAGUUAAUACCUUUGCUCAUUGACGUUACCCGCAGAAGAAGCACCGGCUAACUCCGUG